rnacentral:rRNA from 1 species
UCGGGAAUUUUGGGCAAUGGGCGAAAGCCUGACCCAGCAACGCCGCGUGAAGGAUGAAGUAUUUCGGUAUGUAAACUUCGUAAGAAUAGGAAGAAUAAAUGACGGUACUAUUUGUAAGGUCCGGCUAACUACGUGCCAGCAGCCGCGGUAAUACGUAGGGACCAAGCGUUGUUCGGAUUUACUGGGCGUAAAGGGCGCGUAGGCGGUUUGUCAAGUCAGUUGUGAAAUCUCCGAGCUUAACUCGGAACGGUCAACUGAUACUGUCAAACUAGAGUACAGAAGGGGCAAUCGGAAUUCUUGGUGUAGCGGUGAAAUGCGUAGAUAUCAAGAGGAACACCUGAGGCGAAGGCGGGUUGCUGGGCUGAUACUGACGCUGAAGUGCGAAAGCUAGGGUAGCAAACGGGAUUAGAUACCCACGUAGUCCCUGAGCGGGCUGGCAAGGCGCAU